AUCCUUUGUGGUUCAUAAAGUGAGUUAAGUGAGAUGUGCCUCCCUCAAACCUUGUUACAACAUUGGCACUGUACCUGUCUGAUG
rnacentral:snoRNA from 1 species